AGUGAACGCUGGCGGCAGGCCUAAUACAUGCAAGUCGAACGGCAGCACGGCAGAGCUUGCUCUGUGGGUGGCGAGUGGCGGACGGGUGAGGAAUACAUGGGAAUCUGCCCAGUCGUGGGGGAUAACGUAUGGAAACGUACGCUAAUACCGCAUGCGCCCUACGGGGGAAAGCCGGGGACCUUCGGGCCUGGCGCGAUUGGAUGAGCCCAUGUUCGAUUAGCUAGUUGGGGGGGUAACGGCCCACCAAGGCGACGAUCGAUAGCUGGUCUGAGAGGAUGAUCAGCCACACUGGGACUGAGACACGGCCCAGACUCCUACGGGAGGCAGCAGUAGGGAAUAUUGGACAAUGGGGGCAACCCUGAUCCAGCCAUGCCGCGUGAGUGAAGAAGGCCCUCGGGUUGUAAAGCUCUUUUGUCCGGAAAGAAAAGCAUUCGGUGAAUACCCGGAUGUCCUGACGGUACCGGAAGAAUAAGCACCGGCUAACUUCGUGCCAGCAGCCGCGGUAAUACGAAGGGUGCAAGCGUUACUCGGAAUUACUGGGCGUAAAGCGUGCGUAGGUGGUUCGUUAAGUCUGAUGUGAAAGCCCUGGGCUCAACCUGGGAAUGGCAUUGGAUACUGGCGGGCUGGAGUGCGGU
rnacentral:rRNA from 1 species